rnacentral:rRNA from 1 species
GAGUUUGAUCUUGGCUCAGAACGAACGCUGGCGGCAGGCCUAACACAUGCAAGUCGAACGAGCUGAGACCUUCGGGUCUCGAUGCUAGUGGCGCACGGGUGAGUAACGCGUGGGAACGUACCCUUUAGUACGGAAUAACGCAGGGAAACUUGCGCUAAUACCGUAUACGCCCUCCGGGGAAAGGAUUAUCGCUAAAGGAUCGGCCCGCGUCUGAUUAGGUAGUUGGUGAGGUAACGGCUCACCAAGCCGACGAUCAGUAGCUGGUCUGAGAGGAUGAUCAGCCACACUGGGACUGAGACACGGCCCAGACUCCUACGGGAGGGCAGCAGUGGGGAAGUAUUGGACAAUGGGCGAAAGCCUGAUCCAGCCAUGCCGCGUGAGUGAAG